GACGGGGCCCGCACAAGCGGUGGAGCAUGUGGUUUAAUUCGAAGCAACGCGAAGAACCUUACCAGGUCUUGACAUCCCUGACAACCCGAGAGAUCGGGCGUUCCCCUUCGGGGGACAGGGUGACAGGUGGUGCAUGGUUGUCGUCAGCUCGUGUCGUGAGAUGUUGGGUUAAGUCCCGCAACGAGCGCAACCCUCGACCUUAGUUGCCAGCAUUCAGUUGGGCACUCUAAGGUGACUGCCGGCUAAAAGUCGGAGGAAGGUGGGAUGACGUCAAAUCAUCAUGCCCCUUAUGACCUGGGCUACACACGUGCUACAAUGGGCGGUACAAAGGGCAGCCACUUAGCGAUAAGGAGCCAAUCCCGUAAAGCCGGUCUCAGUCCGGAUUGGAGUCUGCAACUCGACUCCAUGAAGUUGGAAUCGCUAGUAAUCGCAGAUCAGCACGCUGCGGUGAAUACGUUCCCGGGCCUU
rnacentral:rRNA from 1 species